rnacentral:Y_RNA from 1 species
GGCAGGGCCGAGUACAGUGGUGUUCACAACCCGCGAUCACAACCAGUGACAGAUUGCUUUAUCCUUUCUCCACUCCCACAGCUUCACUUGAUUAGCCCUAA